rnacentral:piRNA from 1 species
CUCACUCUGAUAGAAGACAGGCAGGU